GAUGAACGCUGGCGGCGUGCUUAACACAUGCAAGUCGAACGAUGAAGCCCAGCUUGCGGGGUGGAUUAGUGGCGAACGGGUGAGUAAAACGUGAGUAACCUGCCCUUGACUCUGGGAUAAGCCUGGGAAACUGGGUCUAAUACUGGAUAUGACUUCUCAUCGCAUGGGGGGGGGUGGAGAGAUUUAUUGGUCUUGGAUGGACUCGCGGCCUAUCAGCUUGUUGGUGAGGUAAUGGCUCACCAAGGCGACGACGGGUAGCCGGCCUGAGAGGGUGACCGGCCACACUGGGACUGAGACACGGCCCAGACUCCUACGGGAGGCAGCAGUGGGGAAUAUUGCACAAUGGGCGCAAGCCUGAUGCAGCGACGCCGCGUGAGGGAUGACGGCCUUCGGGUUGUAAACCUCUUUCAGUAGGGAAGAGGCGAGAGUGACGGUACCUGCAGAAGAAGCGCCGGCUAACUACGUG
rnacentral:rRNA from 1 species